GGGGGGAGGCCGGAUCCUGGGCUGUGUCCCAGCGCCCUGUGUUCCCGGCCUGCGCUGUUGGAUUCGUGCUCCUUCCCCGCAGCCCCCU
rfam:Canis lupus familiaris chromosome X, whole genome shotgun sequence.